rnacentral:rRNA from 1 species
UGCAGUCGUACGAGAGUUUUUCUCAAGUGGCGGACGGGUGAGUAACACGUAAGAAUUUGCCUUUAGGAGGGGGACAACAACUGGAAACGGUUGCUAAUACCCCAUAUGCUUUCGAGUGAAAUGGAUUUUUCCGCCUAGAGAGAAGCUUGCGGCUGAUUAGCUUGUUGGUAAGGUAAUGGCUUACCAAGGCGACGAUCAGUAUCUGGUUUGAGAGGACGAUCAGACACACUGGAACUGAGACACGGUCCAGACUCCUACGGGGGGCAGCAGUGGGGAAUUUUCCGCAAUGGGCGAAAGCCUGACGGAGCAAUACCGCGUGAGGGAUGACGGCCUAUGGGGUUGUAAACUCCUUUUUUCAGGGAGAAAAAAAUGACGUUACCUGAAGAAAUAGCAUCGGCUAACUCCGUGCCAGCAGCCGCGU